rnacentral:tRNA from 1 species
GCGCCUGUAGCUCAGUGGAUACAGCGUCCGUUUCCUAAGCGGAAGGUCGUAAGUUCGAACCCUACCUGGCGCG